GGUGACAGCAAGGAGGUCACACCUGUUCCCAUCCGAACACAGAAGUUAAGCUCCUUAGCGUCGAUGGUAUCGAACUUAGUUCCGCUAGAGUAGAACGUUGCCAGGC
rnacentral:rRNA from 1 species